rnacentral:rRNA from 11 species
AUUGGCCUAAUUACCCUAAAGGCACCAGAUACCAUCUGAUCUUGAAAGUUUAAUAGGGUCAGCCCUGGUUAUUAUUUGGAUGAGUGACCGCCAAUGAAUAUCAGAGCUGUAGGCCAUUU